UCUCUCUCUCUCUCUGUCUCUCUCUCUGUCUCUCACACUCACACUCACACUCACACUCACACACACACAAACUGUGUAUGUAACUUCUAUUUCAGGGUGGAGGGUGCCGGUUCCUUCGUUAUGACUGUAAUGUGGAAGCACCUCGUAAAGGAUGGUCUUUCAUGCACCCAGGCAGACUGACUCACUACCACGAGGGCCUGCCUACAACCAGCGGGACUAGAUACAUCAUGGUUUCCUUUGUUGACCCCUAAACCCUGACCUCUAACACCUGAACACACCACCCAGAAACCAACACGACCUUGGUCUUCAGAGGUCUGUCAGAAACAUUUAUCAUCAUGUUUUAAACUACUGCUUCAGACUGAGGCCCAAAUGUUGCAACUUAAAUCUGGUGUUUUUAUUGGUAGAUUUUGUUGUUGUUUUCUAGUGUUCUGGUCCCAUGUUAGCAAUCAAAGUGUGUCUGUCCAUCUGACAUGCUUCUAUCAAGCUUUGUACAAAAUGCCCUAAAUUAUUUGUUAUGAUUGAGAAAUAAAGUUUCACAUUUUAAUAAAUAAUUAGAUCUAUA